AGUGAACGCUGGCGGUAGGCCUAACACAUGCAAGUCGAACGGCAGCACAGUAAGAGCUUGCUCUUACGGGUGGCGAGUGGCGGACGGGUGAGGAAUGCAUCGGAAUCUACUUUUUCGUGGGGGAUAACGUAGGGAAACUUACGCUAAUACCGCAUACGACCUACGGGUGAAAGCAGGGGAUCUUCGGACCUUGCGCGAUUGAAUGAGCCGAUGUCGGAUUAGCUAGUUGGCGGGGUAAAGGCCCACCAAGGCGACGAUCCGUAGCUGGUCUGGGAGGAUGAUCAGCCACACUGGAACUGAGACACGGUCCAGACUCCUACGGGAGGCAGCAGUGGGGAAUAUUGGACAAUGGGCGCAAGCCUGAUCCAGCCAUACCGCGUGGGUGAAGAAGGCCUUCGGGUUGUAAAGCCCUUUUGUUGGGAAAGAAAAGCAGCAGGUUAAUACCCCGCUGUUCUGACGGUACCCAAAGAAUAAGCACCGGCUAACUUCGUG
rnacentral:rRNA from 1 species